GGAGAGAUGGCUGAGUGAGUAAGGUGCUUGCCUCAAAAGCAGGAAGACCUGAGUUCAAAUCCCCAGCACCCA
rnacentral:tRNA from 1 species